rnacentral:lncRNA from 1 species
AAGCAUGCCAAAUUAAUCACACUUCUUAAACACAUCUCUUGACCGGGGUGUUCUCACCAUGCCCUUUCUACAAACAAAAAAAUGAAGAUGUGGAGACCUGGAGACAGGUGGCACCUCGUGCUUCCUCCGAAGGGAGAGCCCAUUUCCUAACAGCUGGAUCAAAGGCAUGAAAUGAACAUGGAGUCCCUGAAGAUGAAGAGAAGUUACAGGAAUGCAGAUGUGAUUCCUAUGGAUGAGGGUAACCUAGAGGCUAGAAGAACAAUAGGACAGAAGAAGCCUGGGUCCCUGAACAACCUUGUGGAGCAUAGACACCUACGUGGCCUGGACUGCCAGCUCACAAUGGGCCUCUCUGUGAGAGAAGGAAACUUCCCUCUUGUUUAAGCAACUGUGCUUUUGAGAAUCUCUUGGUCUAUACCCUAAUGAAUAAGGCCAUCAUAAAUGGAUAUCAAAGUAAGGAAAUUUGUGUAAAUGAUUUAAUAAAACAUUACCUCAGGUAUGAAAUAA